rnacentral:rRNA from 1 species
CUCUUCUUGGAUGAGUUGCGAACGGGUGAGUAACGCGUAGGUAACCUGCCUUGUAGCGGGGGAUAACUAUUGGAAACGAUAGCUAAUACCGCAUAACAAUGGAUGACACAUGUCAUUUAUUUGAAAGGGGCAAUUGCUCCACUACAAGAUGGACCUGCGUUGUAUUAGCUAGUAGGUGAGGUAAUGGCUCACCUAGGCGACGAUACAUAGCCGACCUGAGAGGGUGAUCGGCCACACUGGGACUGAGACACGGCCCAGACUCCUACGGGAGGCAGCAGUAGGGAAUCUUCGGCAAUGGGGGCAACCCUGACCGAGCAACGCCGCGUGAGUGAAGAAGGUUUUCGGAUCGUAAAGCUCUGUUGUAAGUCAAGAACGGGUGUGAGAGUGGAAAGUUCACACUGUGACGGUCGCUUACCAGAAAGGGACGGCUAACUACGUGCCAGCAGCCGCGGUAAUACGUAGGUCCCGAGCGUUGUCCGGAUUUAUUGGGCGUAAAGCGAGCGCAGGCGGUUUGAUAAGUCUGAAGUUAAAGGCUGUGGCUCAACCAUAGUUCGCUUUGGAAACUGUCAAACUUGAGUGCAGAAGGGGAGAGUGGAAUUCCAUGUGUAGCGGUGAAAUGCGUAGAUAUAUGGAGGAACACCGGUGGCGAAAGCGGCUCUCUGGUCUGUAACUGACGCUGAGGCUCGAAAGCGUGGGGAGCGAACAGGAUUAGAUACCCUGGUAGUCCACGCCGUAAACGAUGAGUGCUAGGUGUUGGAUCCUUUCCGGGAUUCAGUGCCGCAGCUAACGCAUUAAGCACUCCGCCGGGGGAGUACGACCGCAGGGUUGAAACUCAAAGGAAUUGACGGGGGCCCGCACAAGCGGUGGAGCAGGUGGUUUAAUUCGAAGCAACGCGAAGAACCUUACCAGGUCUUGACAUCCCGAUGCUAUUUCUAGAGAUAGAAAGUUACUUCGGUACAUCGGUGACGGGUGGUGCAGGGUUGUCGUCAGCUCGUGUCGU